GGGUGAUUUGGCUGCAACAUCUGUCACCCCAUUGAUUGUCAGGGUUGAUUCAGCUGAUCUGGCUACCACUCCAUGUGUGUCCCUCCCACAGCUGUGUGCUCAGUUGAAGAGGACAACCAUCCCCAGUAGAGGAGGACUGGUCUUCAGUCAAGGGUAUACAAGUAGCCACUCUCCCCUGCUAGAACCUCCAAACAAGCUCUGAAGAAUACUCACAAAUAUUUUCCAAAUUCUGGAGAAAUCAGCUACAGUGAAACAAAUAUGCUCCAAAUUUUGUUAAUAGGAGUACACUUUACUCAAUUGCUAAAAG
ensembl:misc_RNA 7SK 7SK RNA